rnacentral:lncRNA from 1 species
CAGAAUUUUCUGAACGCCUCUACGGGCCAGGCAGACGAAGUAUGAAUGGCCCAUUUUACAGAUGAAGAAAUUGAGGCCCACAGACAUUAAGACACUUGCUCAGGGUUGUGCAGACACACAGUGACAGAACCCAAACUAGUGUGACGGAGGAGUCUUGGCAAUCCUGGAAGACCUGCAGGAUCUCCUCCCAGCCCUCCAGUGUGAAGCCAGCAGUUUCGUCAGCCACGUAGGUGGCUCUCCAGCCAACGUUUACUUUAGUGUCAAAAAGAAAUCCCAGGCCUCCUGGCGAUCCUCCAGCCCUCAGAAGUACGGGACACUCCCAGUGCCCUUGGAAGACAGUCGUGUGGAUGCAGGAGCCCACCUCCUGCGGUACGAUUCUCAGAGGCCCUUGCCCACCCCUGGGAGCCGGGGCGUGUCACAUGUCCCAUGCUUGGCCAGACAGGCCUGGCUUGAAUGGAUGGUGCGAAGAUAAGUUUCCUUUAGAGCCCAUUCCCGUGGUGGAGAGAGUGGCCAUCAGGCCAGAGUCGUUCCAGGACAAGCUGGCGUUCGUGCUUUAUGGUUCUUGGCCUUCUCGAGCUGCCUCAGUGCCUGUCUGCUCUCCAAUCCUGUCCUUGCAGCCUCCUUUGAGUCUCUGGGGCCCUGGUAGCCUGCCAAUAAAUUCCCUUUGUGUUUAAGAGAA